rnacentral:rRNA from 1 species
ACAAUUAAUUCCUCAUACAACCUACCGGUGAAAGGGGGCGCAGGCUCUUGCUAUCUCAUGANCCUAAAUCAGACUAGCUAGUUUGGUGGUGUAAAGGCCACCAGGCUACCAUCUGAAACUGUACUGAGAUGAUGAUAAAUCACACCCAACCUGACUCACACUCCGGACUCCUACAGAAUGCUACAGUGGGCAAUAUUGGACAAUGUUGGCAACCGUGAUCCAGCCUUGCCGCGUGUGUGAAGAAGGCCUAUUAGUUGUAGCAUUU